rnacentral:rRNA from 1 species
UACGGGGGGGGCAAGCGUUGUUCGGAAUUACUGGGCGUAAAGGGCGCGUAGGCGGCCUGCUAAGUCGGAUGUGAAAUCCCUCGGCUCAACCGAGGAACUGCAUCCGAUACUGGCGGGCUUGAAUCCGGGAGAGGGAUGUGGAAUUCCAGGUGUAGCGGUGAAAUGCGUAGAUAUCAGGAGGAACACCGAUGGCGAAGGCAGGUCUCUGGGCUGAAACUGACGCUCAAGCACGAAAGCGUGGGGAGCAAACAGG